rnacentral:snoRNA from 1 species
AAGACUACAUUUUCAGGGACCAUUUCUAUGUUCAAUGUACUACACUUUCAUGUUACCUGAGAAGUAUUUCCAAACAGUAGGGCAUCAGAAACCCAGAGGAGCGGUAGUGCUUUCUUCUGAGUGUCCAGUUGGCCAGUGGUGCCAUCUGCUGGGCGUACUGCUUGCUGUUCGUUGUUUUUUCCUUCCUUUGGGAAGGAUAAUAGGGAGCAAACCUGAGGGA